GUGGGGAAUAUUGCGCAAUGGGGGCAACCCUGACGCAGCAAUACCGCGUAGACGAUGAAGGCCCUUGGGUUGUAAAGUCUUGUUAGGUGGGAAGAAAUGCCAUAGGGCAAAUAGUCUUAUGGUUUGACGGUACCACCAGAGAAAGCCCCGGCUAACUCCGUGCCAGCAGCCGCGGUAAUACGGAGGGGGCAAGCGUUGUUCGGAAUUACUGGGCGUAAAGGGCGUGUAGGCGGCCUGGUAAGUUAGAUGUGAAAGACCAUGGCUUAACCAUGGAAUUAUAUCUAAAACUACUUGGCUUGAGUAUAGGAGAGGAAGGUGGAAUUCCCAGUGUAGCGGUGAAAUGCGUAGAUAUUGGGAGGAACACCGGUGGCGAAGGCGGCCUUCUGGACUAAUACUGACGCUGAGGCGCGAAAGCUAGGGGAGCGAACGGGAUUAGAAACCCUUGUAGUCC
rnacentral:rRNA from 1 species